GCUUCCUUGGCUCAGUUGGUAGAGCAACUGACUCUUAAUCAGUGGGUCGCGGGUUCGAGUCCCGCAGGGAGCA
rnacentral:tRNA from 1 species